rnacentral:lncRNA from 1 species
GGCUCCAGUCCUCAGGGGACUCCAGUCCUCAGGGGGCUCCAGUCCUCAGGGGGGUGCUCCAGUCCUCAGGGGGGCGUUCCAGUCCUCAGGUGGCUCCAGUCCUCAGGGGUAUCCAGUCCUCAGGGGGGCUCCAGUCUUCAGGCGGCUCCAGUCCUCAGGGGGCUCCAGUCCUCAGGGUGCUCCAGUCCUCAGGGGUAUCCAGUCCUCAGGGGGGCUCCAGUCCUCAUGGGGCUUCAGUUCUUAGGCGGCUCCAGUCCUCAGGGGGCUCCAGUCCUCAGGGGGCUCCAGUCCUCAGGCGGCUCCAGUCCUCAGGGGGCUCCAGUCCUCAGGAGGGCGCUCCAGCACCCGUGACUCGCCAGGCUCCGUCUGAGACCCGUGCUAGGCUCGCUCUGUCCCUGCGUUCCCUCGCCUCUCUCUCCAGUUGUUUUUCCCAUUCUCACACCAGCACUGCACCAAGGUGAGAGGAGCCCCGCUGGAAAGGAAACAUUCGGACUCCGGUUUCAGCACCUCCUCCAGAAGCACAGGAUGUGCGACCUUCAGCCUUUGUGCCCACCUCCGAGCCACCAGCUCCGCAGAAGUAGCUGGGAAUGGAACUGUACUCCUCCAGAGACGUCUCCUCCAGGCUCACCACGGAGCAAAUUCUGUGCAGCAUAAGAGAAUAAACGCAUGCGGAAGAGAAGGCGUUUCAGAAGCCAGUUUCCAAACGACAGAUCCAUUGUACUUCUCUGAUGCACGUCACAAGCAUUUCUCCUCAAAGGACUUCAUCUAUAACAUCCUCACCAUUAAAUAAAGACAGGGCUUGUGUACUCUAGGGCAGGAUGAGUAGGUCUGUGA